CGUAAAACAGACUCCCCUUUCUAUAAUAGUCUCUCACAGUCGGUCCCAUUCGCGCUCUUCUUCCAUCCAUUUUUGCACGAGUAGACUUCGCAAACCCCUUGGUUGCAUCCCAUCCAUUUGGCACCAGGAAUGACAGUGCAGUCCUUGCCAGUGCCCAUGCUCUCGCAACCUCCACAAGAUUGCAAGUCGGCCAAAGGGUCGAGACACUCGUAUUGGCCGGAGGAACUGAAAUCACCGAUUGGGCAAGCAGCAAGACCAGAAGGACAAAGAGCGCCCUUGGCGUUGGCUGCGAGACCAUAAGACAAAGAUGCAAAGAGUUAUACUCAUAACCAGUCUGACACAAACCGUCCUGUAGCCAGUCCAGCCGAAGGUACCGGAAGGACAACAGAUUCCGUUAGAGGUGUAUGUGGGGCAAGAGAGGGCAGGAGUGCAUUGGGAACCGUUACGCUUGCAGCCGACAGCACCGCAGCACUUGCCGUUUUUAAUGAUUCUACAUCGCUUUCGCAAAGACAGCCGAAGUCGUACUUGAAACCCAACCAAAUACCAGAGACUGUGGUACAUUUGAGAGUGGAGCCCCUUGAAGUAGAAGCAGUAGCCCGACGUUCAUUAGAUCCCAGGGUGAAAUUGGAUACUGCACGGGCAGAGGCGCUCUCGUAGAGGAGACAUACAACGAGGAGGAGGGAAGGGAAGAUAGAGGAAAGGAGCAUGGCUAUUAUCGACAGGUAUUGGAGUAAAAAGGACUUUAUCAGUAAAAGAUCUGUACAAAGAUUAGGGGCAAAGGAGGUCGUUUCAAUGGGUCUGCUUCUCAGAUUGAGAGGGGAGAGGAAGAGAACGAAGAUCAGUGCUACUUAUAGGCUUUCGCUUUGCUGUAGUUCGCAAAACAUGCCAGAAAUUCACCAAACCAACCCGGCUCAUGCGGAAAGGGUCCCAACCCCAUUUUGAAACAACAUGUUUGAACUUUUCUAUUGUCAGCCCAAGGGAUGGCGGGAAAAGAUGUCUUAAGAGGGACGAUCUGGGGUAUAACAUCUUCAUCUCAUCUAAUACCCUACAGGAAAAGGCUCGGGCCUGACAGCAGAAAUGUGACAGACAGAGUAAGAGGCCCUAUCCCGCCUUUCGUCUAAUUCCCUUUCAGUCUGAAGAUCGGCAGAGAAAUAGAAGGACUGAUACUCGGGACAUUGUCAUAUUCGGUGUCCUGCCUCCUUGAGACACGGGCGCUGAGACAUUGAUAAUUAACAAAGGGUGAGCGUUGUAUAUCGUCCGAAAUCGCAGAACUCCAUAUUGGUAACUGAGAGCAAAUUUUCCGUGAGGAUCAUCUAAAAUCUAGGGAAAUCUAUCAGCCCGCAUGAAGAUGCGAAAAUGGAUAAUGGAGAGAUGGUGAUGUUUGAUUGAAUUAACUGAAGCCGACGGAAGCGAAUGAUCCUGUAAGCACCAGUGCUGAAAGGAGAUCGCAUUUUGGGCGCCAUCUGCUUCUCGUCUUCUACCAAGCAUCUAUAGCGGAAAGCGCCAGCUCCAUAAUGCUCGUAUUGUUGACCAACAAGGAUCGUGUUUCGGCUCUCAUUUUUGCGACAGACGGGACGUCGUACGCGAAACGAUGAUGUAGUGUCAUGCCGUGGUUUUCGGGACCAGAGGUUCUAACAUGAUAUUUGCUAUCUACGAAGGUCGGGUAGAAUUCUCGCUUUGCAUAGAUGAUAAUGCACUUUCAUCCGUAUUAAG
rnacentral:sRNA from 1 species